UCAGUUACCCGCAGUUUCCUCCGUUAUUGCGUUGAUGGAAGAUGGAAGAUGAGGUGCAUUUAACGAAUGUGGCGUCCUCCGUCUUAAGGCAACUGAGGCAUUUCAAGAUGUUGAUCAAAUGCUCUGCGGCCAUGAUACUCGUCGCGGCUUUCCUUUACCUCUCGCGUCUGCCUGCAACUUUUCGAAGGGCCACCGACGUCGCCAGGAGCACGUCGUCCGCCGGAGACUCUCUCGCGGCAUCACGUGAUCCCGGAGUCGAAGCUGGAGGUGCCGUAGA